UCCCCCCAAAACCCACCCCAAAUUCCCCGUUCCCCGGCUGUCUUCUCGAGGAAGCCAACCUCGCGCCCGCGGCGGCGAUCGGCGGCGCCAUGGUGUUCCUGCAGCGCAGCCGCCCCGCCAACCCCCGCAAGCGCCCGCCCCCACCGCCCGACGCGGAGCCCCCGGGGGCCGCCGGCGCCGACUCCUCCGCCGCCGUCGACGCGGCGGCGGCGCUGCUGGCGGACGCGGGCUGCACGCUCCUCGUACCGCCGCACCAGGCCCCGCCGCUCCCCUCGCCGCACGCCUUCGCGGCCUGCCUUGGGCGCGCGCUCUCCGCGGACCCCUCCGCGGCCCCGCGCCUCCUCGCGGGCGUCGCCGCCUUCGCGGCCGCCUCCCCCGCGCGGCUCCGCCAGCUGCUCCUCCCGGCGGCCCCGCACGCCCCGAGCCUCGCGCGCGCGCUCCUCUCCGUCCCCGCGCUCCAGCCGGGCCUCCUCGCGCUGCUCCUCGAGAAGCUGCCCGAGCACUUCGACGACGGCGGCGGCGGGGCGCUCGACGGAUUGCCGCUGCAGGACGACGUGGGGAGGCUCAUCGUCUCGCAGUUCCGGUGGCUGGACUUCCUCGCCGAUGCCGACGCCUUCGUCGAGAAGCUCGUCGAGGUGCUCUCCGUGGCGCCGCCCAGGCUGAAGAAGGAGAUCAUCGGCUCGCUCCCGGAGAUCGUCGGGGACCAGAGCCAUGCCGCCGUGGUAGUCGCGCUGGAAAAGCUCCUGCAGGAGGACUCCGAGGUUGUCGUCGCCGUGCUCGACGUGCUGUCGGAUCUUAACCUCAACGAAGAGUUGCAGGAGCAGGCGGUGACUGUUGCGAUAUCGUGCAUCCGGACAAUUACUCCAGACCAGAUGCCGCAUUUGCUCAGGUUCUUGCUGCUGUCUGCUACACCAGCCAAUGCUGGGAGGAUAAUAUUGCAGAUCCGCGAGCAGCUGAGGUUUGUUGGUGUUGUGGAUCCAUGGGCUGCUCGAAGCAAGAAGCUGAAAGGGAAGGCAUCGGCGAAUAGCACUGAUGGGGCAAUACUUGAUACGCUGAGAUCUGGCCUACGGUUUAAGAAUAUGCUUUGUGAGGCUUUCUUGAAGGAGCUGAAGACAGUUGACCAUCCAAAGGAUCAUAAAGUGAUUGAUGUUUGGCUUAUCAUGCUCAUCUAUGCCAAUGGUGGUGCUCGGCAGAAAAGUGCAGAAAAAAUAUUGAAGUCCAAGAUUUUGCGGGGGUGCAUACGAGAGACACUGUUUGAUCAAUGCAUUCGUGGGAACACUGAACUGGUCAAGGAACAUUUCAUGUCGUUCCUCUCAGUGAGCGAUUACUUGUUGGCUUGCAAGGAAGAGAAAGCUAGAGAGUUUGCAUCCUAUUUGUUCACAGCACUGUUUGAAGAAUUCACUGAUACGUAUUCCAGGCAAGAGCUUGUAGGCUCAUUGGUCGCUCAUAUAGGUUCUGGGGUCAGCUACGAAGUUUUGUCUUCUCUGGAUAUCAUGAUUUCUCUAACAUCCAACAACUCCGAAGAGUUGAUUCCUAUAUCUUCACAUAUAACCGGAAUAUUGGAUUACUUGGAGAGUUUUCAUGAAGAUAAUCUUCGGAAGGUUUAUGAUAUCUUCUGUCAACUGGCACUCGCUGCCGGUUUCAACACUGGUUCAGGUGGCUCUUCUGUAGCUAAUGAACUUCUAAUGGUGGUGAGAAAGCAGGUUAGCAAUCCAGAUAUGAAGUAUAGGAGAAUGGGAAUAAUUGGAGCUUUAAGGAUAGUUUCAACUAUUGCUCAUGUUGAUGUCAAUGCUGCUGUGAACUGUUCGUCAUAUCAGCAACCAAAUUGUGAGGAGGCCCUGGAACUGUUGAAGAUGUCUGUUAACUCCUGCAAAUUUGUGACAUUGCCCUUGAUUUUUCUAUAUGAUGAAUUAGCUGCUUUACUGGAGAGCAAAGUUCUUCACUCUGCAAUUCUUGAGUGGGUAGGAGAUUAUGUUGCAGAAUUUGACACACCUUUUCUUGCUGAUCUAAACAAUGGUAAACUAUCAGAGAAACAUCAGUAUGAUGGCAUAGAAGGAGAACUAUGGAUGAACUUGGAUGGAGAUGUCUCUCCAAUAUGUGUAAAUAUUAUGCCUAUAGCCUCCACUAUGCCACAAAAAUCUCAACCCUGCUUGCAGAUCCUUCCAUCCCAAUUUUCACUUUUAACUACAAUUGAACGUUUAGUAAAUGAAGGCUCGCUUGGUGGAAUAAAUGCAUUACUUGGCUGUCCUUUGCACCUUCCCUCAACCAAGCAUUUGGAUGGAGCUAAAUGGGGAAACUUGUCAGGAUUGCAGAAAAAGGCAGUAUGCCAUUCACUGUAUUAUGCAAUUAACUGGAUCAGGGAGUUGCUCAAUGCUUUCAGCACACAGGUUGCAAGUAGGGUUGAUAAUUUCUCACAGAAAGCAAGGGAUGAGACAGCAGUAAAACUUCUGAAGCGUCUGAGAAAUCUGAUAUUACUUGAGGGCUUGCUGAAUGCAUUUCUCAAAAAUUAUCCUCUAUCUCUUCCUGAGCUGCGAUAUCUUGGGGAUUGUUCUGGAUCAACUAGCACCAGCAAAUUCAACCUUCCAAAGAAAAUGGGAGAAGAGAGCAUGGAUGGCACAUCUUCCAACAAAAGGCAAAAGGGUUGCAAGGACAAGGCAGCCUCAGAAAAAAGAAAUCCUGAUGAUAAACUCAAUCAACCUACAAUACUGGAUGCUUUCAAAAGAGCAGGAGUAACAGUCAGUCAAACGACAAACAAAGCUUCUUCUCAACCCUCGUCAAGUGGAAUGAUGUCAAAGGAUAUUGAACAGGAGGCUAAUGAUCCUGGUGAGCUUGGGCUUGUAGAUUUAAUGACGGCACCAGUUCAGCUGGAUAUGCAAAGAUUCAAAUUCAGAACUCUGCAUACAAGAUGCUUGUCGUUGCUGAACUAUUCAGAGUGUCAAGAUUCAUCUUGUUCUUCCCUUGAAACUGAGCUACCUAUAUAUCUGUAUCUUCUCCGGGAUCUGCACAACAAAUUAGAUAAUCUAAAUCCUGCAACCAAGCCUUUUCUUAGUACUUCUCAUCCAAAAUGUUCACAUGUUCAUUGCCAUGACAACACACAAGAAUUCCUUGACAAAAUUCAGCCACUAUUCUCAGUUUUAAGGAAGCAUCUAGAUGGAGCAGUUUCAAUGAUCAGAGAUGAAUCAGAGAGCUGCACAGAUAAUUGGAGUUCACAUUCAUCUUCAGCUAGCAACCCAGACAUUCCGUAUGUGGUGGUCUCCAAAUCAUCAAUUGCAACUGCAGUAUGUAAGGAGAUUCUUGGCUGCUACAGGAAGUUAGUGGCCAUUCCUGAUCUGUUGAAUCAACCAAACAUGUCAGGUCUGAAGCAACUUUUACAGACUUUGCAGCCAACAGAAAAUUUUGAUGAUAUUCUUUCUGAGUUCCAACCAUCCCUUGCUCCUAGCAAUGUUGAUUAUCUAUACUGUGGUGCAUGUAAAAUGUUUGAGGAUAUUAUGGAUCCAGUGUGCUCGUUCUCAUAUCUUCUGUCUUCUGAUGUGUUAAUAACUAUGCAAUCAAUUGUAAAUUCUGUUGUCGUGUUGUUGGACGAAUCUGGGGAAUCAAAUCAGAAGAAGAUACAAAUAGGAUGCUCCAAGGCGAUCAUUCCCUUUCUGCGAAAGCGUCUUGGCCAGUCAGCUCAUAAGUUGCUAACCGCGGAUCAACCUAGUGAACAUGCUGAAAAUGGAUGGCAGAGUAAAGGUGAUCUUAUACAGAAGAUAUUGCAAAUAUACCUAAGAAAUAGUGAAUCCACUUCAGAUCUGCUUUGUGAGCUUUGCAAAGCGUUGACUCAGGCACCUUCGCUCAAAACAAAAGGUACCCAGGAAGCGUCAAAUGGUUUUCCAACAUUGUGUUCUUCCACUAUCCCCACUUGGUACCGUGUCCUACAUGAGGAGAAUACUGGGACUUUAAACAAGAAAAUCAAGCAGGCCCUUAAGACUAGAGCAUUACCAGAAAGAGGAUCAAUUGAUACUAUUUUGGAAGAAAUUCAGAAAUCAGUGGAGGCAUUUGUUUAUCUAAUACAAAUGUGCAAGACCCAUGAAAAGGUUUCUAUCCACGCAAUGGCAGUUAAACAUGGGGGAAAGUAUAUCGACACAUUUCUGAAAGCCUUCAACUUACUAGAGACACAGUUCAAGGAACAUAAUGCCAUUAUACUUAAAAUGCUAAAAGAACUUCAGAAAGCGACAAGAACAAUCCAAACUAUAUGUUCAGAGGCUAAGGGUUACAAGCGGACAAUGAUCACAAGCAAAGUACCUCCUGCAAAGAGAUCCUUGGAGAAGUUCUUGUUCCAAGUUAAGGCGCUGCUACACAACUGCUCCACCGAGAAGAAAUUCUGGAUGGGCAACCUGAAGCACAAGGACAUGCACGGUCAUGUGGUGAGCUCUCAGGUGUAUGGAAGCGUGGAUGAUGAAGAUGAGCAGAUGGAGACUGACUCGGACACUCCGGCUGACGAGAACGACAACACCAUGGACGAGGAUGCGGCGGAAGGGAGCAAUGAUGUUCCAAUGGAGGAAGAAUAGCGGCAUACUAGGAAAUUAUGCCAAGCCACAUGAGUCCUCAAUGAGUCGAUUCUUGGCCCGUGGGCCUUGACUGGUUCUGGGGCCGUGACCACAAGUCACCUUCUUAUAGCCCAUGUGUCUUCACGUGCGUCCAGCCCACAUGACCUGUUGGGCUGCAGCCCAGUGGCCCAGGGUUAUUAGGAUAAGGAUCCACCCGAUGGACCGUCUCUAACUUUUUUGAUGUCGUCCGAGUCAAAACCAAUGUGAAGCUACACAUCAGGCAUUGACUUAUCAGGUCGCCGUACCGUACAUAUAGAAGUUCAAAGUGCUGGGUCAUCAGAUGAGUGGAUGGAUGACGCGCACUCCUACACGCGAUUCGUUGACUUACCAGGUUACAUGGAAGCGUACGUGGAAGAACACAAAUGGCUUUCUUCCUUGAUGAACUUGUUCCGUACCUGUGACGCAGCUGAUGACGUAACCAGCCAUGCACACUACAGCUCUGACCAAGUGUACAUGCUCGAUCUGACGGUCUGACCUUUGCUGAUAAGCAUCCACACCCAGCAGGUCAGAACUUGCAUUGUUGGAGUUCGUGUUCUGAUCGCGUGUUCCAUAUUCUUUUUUGUGUGUGAUCACACGUGGAUACAUGCAUGCAUAUAUCCACAUGGUUUUUUUUUUGUUUGUGUAGACACUACUAAGACAGCAGCAUCUGAUACC